AUUGAACGCUAGCGGGAUGCUUUACACAUGCAAGUCGAACGAGUGGCGGACGGGUGAGUAAUAUAUCGGAACGUGCCCAGUGGCGGGGGAUAACUACUCGAAACGGUGGCUAAUACCGCAUACUAUCAGAUCGGCCCAGAUCGGAUUAGCUAGUUGGUGGGGUAAAGGCUCACCAAGGCGACGAUCCGUAGCUGGUUUGAGAGGAUGACCAGCCACACUGGAACUGAGACACGGCCCAGACUCCGACGGGAGGCAGCAGUGGGGAAUAUUGGACAAUGGGCGCAAGCCUGAUGCAGCCAUGCCGCGUGUAUGAAGAAGGCCCUAGGGUUGUAAAGUACUUUCAGUCGGGAGGCGUUACCGGCAGAAGAAGCACCGGCUAACUCCGUGCCAGCCGCCGCGGUAAUUC
rnacentral:rRNA from 1 species